ACACUGCUGAAGAGUCCCAAACUAGGGCGAAACAGCUGUCCAGUAG
rnacentral:hammerhead_ribozyme from 1 species